rnacentral:lncRNA from 1 species
AAAAAACAAUUCUUCAACUUCUUCGAUAGAGAGAACUCGACUUCUCCGAUGGCUGAUUUUUGGGUUUAGUCAAAAUCUUCGAAGUCUCCGACAGAGAACUUGCAUCACCGCCGCCUGCAUGUCGUCCAAUCGUCCAAUCGCAUCAUCGGCGGAGAUUCUGCUUAGAUGGUUUCAUGAGAAAUUCAGAAGAUGAUUUCGACUUCUUCGACUUCUCAGAAUCCUUUCCUGAUCAAAAGGUAAUUUCGAUUCCAAAUCUAAACUUCUCUGUUUUAGAAAUGAAAUUUUCCAAUUGUAAAUUGAUUUGUGUAUAGAUUUUAUGGUUUGAUUUUCGGUGGAGAUUGAGUUUCUCCAAUGUACAUCAAAAAAGUUUAGGUUUUUUGCUGAGUUUCUACCCUCAACUUUAUCACUAUAAUAAUCAAGUAGAAACUCAUGUGGAUUUCUCUGAUAAUCAUGCUCUAAGGUCCGAGUAAUAUGUGCAUAUGGUCCAUCGUGCUCUUCCCUUUUAGGCUUUCCUCAAUGCAGUGUUAUAAUUGUCUCCAUAACAAUGAAUUUUUGUUUUUCUUAAUGUUUAUAUUGGAACAUCCAGACAUAUAGUUUAAGUUAGUUGAUAAAAAACGUUAUCUUAUCUAUUGAUUAAGGUUGUAUGUCCGCUAAAAAAAAUACAGAAGUAUAAUACACGGUCUCCUUCAUUUAUGACACUAUUCUCAAUUAGUUAAACCAUAGAACUUAAAUCACAGAAUAGAUAGUAUUAGACCUUUAAAUUUAUUGAAAAGAACAAAUAACAAUAGUAGGGAUCGUGUUAUAACAGCUUUUCUCUAAACAUAAAAUCCCAUUCCAAAUAAAAUUAGCUAUGAGAAAAACAAUUAUAGUUAGCUAGAAAAGAUCGAGUUCAUUGCUAUUGAAUCCUUGGAAGAAAAGUAUUUGAAACCACAUGUAUAUCAGUAUAUACAUAUAUCUAUGUAUGACAUGUCAUAUUCUCUUCAUUGACAACUUUCUCCACUCUCUUUUUAUUGCUUUAAAUUAUUAGUAGUUUUUUAUGGCCAUAUUGUUCUUUCACCACUUUAUAGAAACACUGGUCUCUCAAUUAAACAAAUGUGGUUGUUAUAAUAUCAUCACGUUUUUGCAGUGUUCAACACAGUUUUCAGUGAUCUACAGUAAAUUAGGUCCAAUGCAUAGCGUUUAAAAUAUGCAAUUAGUCCAACCAUUCACACUUUUAAGAGAAACACUAGCAAUAAUUAGCAUAGACAUUAGUCCAUCCUUACCAUGAUUGAAGGAAAAGACAAUUAAUAAGCAUCCACGAUUCAAACCAAAUACAUUCUAUGUUUUUUUCUUCUAUGUAUUGAGUUCUUUGUACCACGAUAUAUAUUCCAUCUUAUUUUGGGACCAUGCAAAGAAUGUUUAAUACAAUGCAUGAAUGUGUCACUUUCAUCUAAAUUCCAAAAUCAAUGUCAAAGACUCGAUGUAUUUACUAGCUAUAUUUUCUGCGGGGACAAAGACAUGUUACUUUAUACAUUACAUAAAACAUACUGAAUGUUUCAAUUUCGUUUUCAGGAGAAAAUAGCAGGAUUUAAGAUCGGAUUUAUUUCCUUCCAAAUCAAAAUGACACCAUAAAACUGGAAAUGAUAUGCUCUUGAAGCAAUAUUUGUUAUCACUUCUGUGUUACACAUUUACCUCUACAUACUUAAUGUAUUGGUAUAUCUACAACAGCACGAGUGAAAUCGAAGUAACAUUUUUUUAUUUCAAGUUUUUCGGUUUUUUUUUUUUCAAAUUAUAGUUUAAUUUUACAAAAACUAUAGAAACAAAAAAAAUGAUGCAACUCCCUUGUAAGAUUUCCAGCUGCAACUUCCCAUAAAACAAAUCGAUCGCUUUAACCGGUAAGACAACACGGAAUAUUAGGCUUUGAGUCGUCUUGCUUCUCUACUCAUAGCGGGAAUUCUUUUUGCAGGAGAUCGAGAUUCCUUGACUCACACGCUUCAAUCAGGUCUUGCCUUGAGGCACAACUGCAGAAAGUUAACAAAAGUAGAAAAAACAUUCAACGACAUUGAUGAUAGUUAAUGGAUUUUUCUUGUUCACAAGCUUUAUAGAUACCUUAACGAGAGCCUCAAGUACUGCCAUGCGUUAUCGGCCUUAGGAUUCAUCGCAAGGGCACGAACAUAGUAAGGGAUCG